CUCGCUGAAGUCGGGCAGAUCAAUGAGCGGAGGAAAAGAUACUAACAACGAUUCGCCUAGUAACUGCGAGUGAAGCAGGAGAAGCUCGAAUUUAAAAUCUGGUGGCCUUUGACCAUCCGAGUUGUAAUUUAGAGAAGCGUCUUCCGCGCCGGAUCGUGCACAAGUCUCCUGGAAUGGAGCGUCGUAGAGGGUGAGAAUCCGAUGUAUGGCACGGACGCACAGUGCUUCUGUUAUGCGCUCUCGCAGAGUCGAGUUGUUUGGGAAUGCAGCUCAAUAUGGGUGGUGAUCUCCAUCUAAAGCUAAAUAUUGGCGAGAGUCCGAUAGCGAGCAAGUGCCGUGAGGGAGAGAUGAAACGCUCUUUGGAAAGAGAGUGAAUCAGUACGUGAAAUUGUUGAAAGGGAAACGCUUGAAGUCAGUCGCGUCGUCCGAGACUCAGCCUCGCCUCGGCUAUGGUGUACUUCUCGGACGACGGGUCAGCAUCAAUUUUGCCCCUCGGAUAAUGGCGAGGGAAAUGUGACACCUUUGCGGGUGUGUUAUAGUCUCUAGUCGCAUGCAAGGGUCGGGAUUGAGGAACUCAGCAGCGCGCCUUCGGGCGUCGGGGUUCGCCCAGCGAUACGUGCUUAGGAUAGUUGGCGUAAUGGCUUUAAACAGACCCGUCUUGAAACACGG
rnacentral:rRNA from 1 species